rnacentral:rRNA from 1 species
AUUGAACGCUGGCGGCAUGCCUUACACAUGCAAGUCGAACGGCAGCGGGGACUUCGGUCCGCCGGCGAGUGGCGAACGGGUGAGUAAUGUAUCGGAACGUACCUUUCAGUGGGGGAUAACGUAGCGAAGGUUACGCUAAUACCGCAUAUUCUGUGCGCAGGAAAGCAGGGGAUCGCAAGACCUUGCGCUGAUUGAGCGGCCGAUAUCAGAUUAGCUAGUUGGUGGGGUAAAGGCCUACCAAGGCGACGAUCUGUAGCGGGUCUGAGAGGAUGAUCCGCCACACUGGAACUGAGACACGGUCCAGACUCCUACGGGAGGCAGCAGUGGGGAAUUUUGGACAAUGGGGGCAACCCUGAUCCAGCCAUGCCGCGUGAGUGAAGAAGGCC